rnacentral:rRNA from 1 species
AUGGCUGCCUCUUGCGUUCCCAUUUUCAUCGUCCUCUCGUUCUUGAGUUCAUUCUGCAAGUCCGUUGAUACUAUCACACAAGCAAAGCCGCUCUUCUCCAGCGACAAGCUCGUCUCCAAGGGCGGGGAAUUUGCUCUUGGCUUCUUCUCGCCGACGAGCUCCAGCACGAGCUUAUAUAUAUACCUUGUCACAAAGUUUCUUUGUAGCUGGUUCUACGCGGUGCCCCUUAUCUGUGCCGUUGGUCGCCGUAUCGAGGUAUUGAGGGCCACACACAUAGCUGUCUCCGUCACAUCACCACUAGCUGCCAGCACGCUUGCAGUCUCGGGGUCCACCCGCGCCAGCCGCUGCACCAUGCGUUUUUCUGCUGACACAAGACACUCACCGCCCUAG